UACGUAGGGCGCAAGCGUUGUCCGGAAUUAUUGGGCGUAAAGAGCUCGUAGGCGGUUUGUCGCGUCUGCUGUGAAAACCUAAGGCUCAACCUUGGGCUUGCAGUGGGUACGGGCAGACUAGAGUGUGGUAGGGGAGACUGGAAUUCCUGGUGUAGCGGUGAAAUGCGCAGAUAUCAGGAGGAACACCGAUGGCGAAGGCAGGUCUCUGGGCCACUACUGACGCUGAGAAGCGAAAGCGUGGGGAGCGAACAGG
rnacentral:rRNA from 1 species